AUGAAUGAAGCAGAAAAGGGCAAAAGCCAUUUCUUGGAGAAUGACAAGGUCAGUAGCCUCGGUUGCUACACAUGUGGUUAUACGACUCACAAUGCAAGGAAAUGUGAUACUUCCAUGCAUUUGGUGGAUCUGUACAUCCAUCAAUUGGCUAAGGGCAAGAGGCCCAUGGGAACAAGUGUGAAUCUUACUUCACUUGCAAUAACAAUGAUUUCCCAAUGGUUGAAAGUUCCCAGAUGUUCCUCGGAACAUGGGCAACUAGGAUCAUGCUCAGCAAAAGGAAAGUCCACUAUUGAGUAUCGAUGA
rnacentral:rRNA from 1 species